AUUGAACGCUGGCGGCAUGCCUUACACAUGCAAGUCGAACGGCAGCACGGGGGGCAACCCCUGGUGGCGAGUGGCGAACGGGUGAGUAAUAUAUCGGAACGUACCCUGUAGCGGGGGAUAACGCGUCGAAGGAUGUGCUAAUACCGCAUACGCUCUACGGAGGAAAGCGGAGGACCGCAAGGCUUCGCACUACAGGAGCGGCCGAUAUCGGAUUAGCUAGUUGGCGGGGUAACGGCCCACCAAGGCGACGAUCCGUAGCUGGUCUGAGAGGACGAUCAGCCACACUGGAACUGACACACGGUCCAGACUCCUACGGGAGGCAGCAGUGGAGAAUUUUGGACAAUGGGCGCAAGCCUGAUCCAGCCAUGCCGCGUGAGUGAAGAAGGCCUUCGGGUUGUAAAGCUCUUUCGGCGGGGACGAAACGGUUCGUGCUAACACCACGGACUAAUGACGGUACCCGAAGAAGAAGCACCGGCUAACUACGUGCCAGCCGCCGCGGUAA
rnacentral:rRNA from 1 species